GACGAACGCUGGCGGCGUGCUUAACACAUGCAAGUCGAACGAAGAGCGAUGGAAGCUUGCUUCUAUCAAUCUUAGUGGCGAACGGGUGAGUAACGCGUAAUCAACCUGCCCUUCAGAGGGGGACAACAGUUGGAAACGACUGCUAAUACCGCAUACGAUCUAAUCUCGGCAUCGAGGAUAGAUGAAAGGUGGCCUCUACAUGUAAGCUAUCACUGAAGGAGGGGAUUGCGUCUGAUUAGCUAGUUGGAGGGGUAACGGCCCACCAAGGCGAUGAUCAGUAGCCGGUCUGAGAGGAUGAACGGCCACAUUGGGACUGAGACACGGCCCAGACUCCUACGGGAGGCAGCAGUGGGGAAUCCUCCGCAAUGGACGAAAGUCUGACGGAGCAACGCCGCGUGAGUGAUGACGGCCUUCGGGUUGUAAAGCUCUGUUAAUCGGGACGAAAGGCCUUCUUGCGAAUAGUGAGAAGGAUUGACGGUACCGGUAUAGAAAGCCACGGCUAACUACGUG
rnacentral:rRNA from 1 species